GUUUUCAAAAUGAGAGAACUAAAAGCGAUACGAAGGAAACGAUAAAAAGUAUGGAAGUUUUUUUGAGAUGGUUCCUAAUUCUGACAAUUGAUGGUAAGACGACGUGUAGAUGAGGUCGGUAUGGACCAGUGGAACGAGCUAGACGACGAGUACGCUUUCGUAUACACGAACCCUGACAAGGGUUCGAAGAAGGUGCUCGUCAAGUGCCUUGCGAUGGAAGAUAAAUUGCUAGUGGAUGCUCUUGCUGACGGGGCUUCCGAGCCGGUCCAUCUCUAAAUUAGUGUUGAAGACUAUGCUGGAGAAAAUCGGGGUACCAAUUAUUCUGCGCAAUAUAAGAAUCUGGCGGAGCUGGUGAAGAAACUGGAUACUGAAGUCCUUUCUAAAUUAGAUGGAUCCUCCCUACCCAUUUCAUCAGAUAACGCUUCAAGAUCAAGCCAAGUGUCACCGCCAUCAAGAUUUGAGGCACACGUGCAAGGCAGUUUACUUGCGACAAAAGCUACCGUAUACAAAGCGGCGAAAGGGCAAAACUCCGAAGGGAGCCGCGAAAUCCAUUUUUACCCCGUUACUUUCUCAGGAAGAAUACUCAAGAUUAGUUCGUAAUCGAUCGGAAAAGCAUACAUGGUGGACGACAAGUCGGUUAUGGCUGUGGUCAGGGCGGCCAGACCGUCCUUUCGCAACAAUCACGACAAGAUUGCCUUUGCUGUUCACGCCUCCUGCCUCGCUUCCGGCUACGUUCUCACUGCCACUGGACCCUCCGCCUUCUCCGACACGGCUCUUUCCUCUCCGUCUACUGAUGAGGUCGGUAUGGACCAGUGGAACGAGCUAGACGACGAGUACGCUUUCGUAUACACGAACCCUGACAAGGGUUCGAAGAAGGUGCUCGUCAAGUGCCUUGCGAUGGAUGAUAAAUUGCUAGUGGAUGCUCUUGCUGACGGGGCUUCCGAGCCGGUCCAUCUCGAAAUUAGUGUUGAAUACUAUGCUGGAGAAAAUGGGGGUACCAAUUAUUCUGCGCAAUAUAAGAAUCUGGCGGAGCUGGUGAAGAAACUGGAUACUGAAGUCCUUUCUAAAUUAGAUGGAUCCUCACUACCCAGUUCGUCAAAUAAUGCUUCAAGCUUGGAGACCAGUGAAGCAAGAAGAAGCAACAUUGGCAGUGGUGUUCCAAUUGGUGGACGUUCAAGCCCUGAAACUCAUCCUGCAGGAAUCAUAUAUCCCCCUAUUAAUCCCAGUGGUGGUAGUGAUCUUUUUCCUGGGCCUGGCGCUGGAAUGUACCCAACCAGGGGUGCUUUUGGAGCCGGUGGGAGCAUGCUUGUAGGACCUAAUGAUCCUCGCUGGUUUGGCGGAAUUGCGGGAGACCCUGGUUUCCCUGGAGGACUGCCGAGUAUUCCUCCAGGUGCUCGUUUUGAUCCCUAUGGCCCACCUGGCGUUCCUGGUUUUGAGCCUAAUCGGUUUGCGAGGAGUUUUGAAUAAUCAUCGAGGGUGAGAUAAGUUAAUUGCUUGAAGGAGUUUCUAGAGUUGAUGGAUUGAACUGAAGAAUUCGCUGAUCUGUGUGUAUUAUCUGUGACUGAGGCCCUAGAAGACCUGGGAGUGGGCCACAUCCAGACCUGCAACCCUUUGGGGGUGAUUCGGAUUUCAUUUAGCUGAUGGAGCUCUGUUUCAAUAAACUUUGUUUUCUUGUUCCUCUUUCCUUGGGAUUUCAGCUUCCCAUGGAAACGUGAAAAGGAUGCUGACAUAUGGUUCUCUUUUUUUUUUUUUUUUUUUGGGUGCGGCUAGGGUUCAUUUGGCUAAGAGACACUAUGUAUAUAUUAUGAUUAUGGUGUUUGGUAUUUAGUAUUUUGGUCAUUUAAAUUUAGUGUUCACGUCAUGUGUUUGCUACUUGUUAAGGAUGAAUCCAAAUGUCAAUGAGAUCUUUGGUCA